rnacentral:rRNA from 1 species
AUCGAACGCUGGCGGCAGGCCUAACACAUGCAAGUCGAACGAGUGGCGGACGGGUGAGGAAUGUAUGGGAAACUGCCUGAUGGAGGGGGACAACUACUGGAAACGGUAGCUAAUACCGCAUACCAUCAGAUGUGCCCAGAUGGGAUUAGCUAGUUGGUGGGGUAACGGCUCACCAAGGCGACGCUCCCUUGCUGGUCUGAGAUGAUGACCAUCCACAAUGGAACUGAGACACGGUCCAUGCGCCGACGGGAGGCAGCAGUGGGGAAUAGUGCGCAAUGGGCGCAAGCCUUAUGCGGCCAUGCCGCGUGGAUGAAGAAGGCCUUCGGGUUGUAAAGUACUUUCGGCGGGGAGGCGUUACCCUCAGAAGAAGCACCGGCUAACUCCGUGCCAGCAGCCGCGGUAAUAC